UGGUUUAUUUCUUUUGCUAUUUUUUUGCAGGUGAUUGACGUUGAUGGAGAAAGUGGGCAUAGCGAUGGGACGUGCGGCGGUGGCAGAGCAAGUGGCCGACUUCGGCAGAUGCUAGGUGCGGCGGUAAUAGGCCCUAGGUGCGGUGCCUAUGGCUUGAAAUUUUUUUUUCUUUCUGUUAUGGGUUUGGGCUAGAGUUUGGUUAGUUGGGCAAGGGUGGUUGGGUACGUUGGGUAUUGGGGUCUUGGGCCAAAUGGGUUAUUGGGCUGUUUGAGUUUGGCAUCUGGGCCUCGGGUAAAUUUGGACUGUACAGUUAUUAAUAUUGAUCUGACAUAAAGUGGAUUCUUCAAUAUUGGAUUGAUUUAACGAAUAUAUUGAGCAUAUGAAUGGGUAUGUAUUGGGCCUCGUAUACCCUAAUUAACAACUCG
rnacentral:lncRNA from 1 species